rnacentral:misc_RNA from 1 species
GAUGAAGAACGUAGCGAAAUGCGAUACGUAAUGUGAAUUGCAGAAUUCAGUGAAUCAUCGAGUCUUUGAACGCACAUUGCGCCCCCUGGUAUUCCGGGGGGCAUGCCAGUCCGAGCGUCAUUGCUGCCCUCAAGCACGGCUUGUGUGUUGGGCCUCCGUCCUCCUCCCGGGGGACGGGCCCGAAAGGCAGCGGCGGCACCGCGUCCGGUCCUCGAGCGUAUGGGGCUUCGUCACCCGCUCUUGUAGGCCCGGCCGGCGCUUGCCGACACAUCAAUCUUUUUUCCAGGUUGACCUCGGAUCAGGUAGGGAUACCCGCUGAACUUAAGCAUAUCAAUAAGCGGAGGA